rnacentral:rRNA from 1 species
GUCUACGGCCAUGCCACCCUGAAGAACCCGAUCCUGGCUGAUCUUGGAAGCUAAGCAGCGUCGGGCCUGGUUAGUACUUGGAUGGUUAGUACUAGGAAGACCAGGUGCUGUAGGCU